UCAGGGUGGUCCAUUCAAACUGCAGAUUUGUUUGUCAUCCUUGUACAGCAGUCUUUUCCUCUACGGCCACUACAGGGAAGUGCAUCACCUAUCAGGUCACAGAGAGUGCUGUUGGACAUCUCUUCUUGCCCCAAGAUCUUCGUUGGAAGUCCACGGGACUUGGUGUCUUUGCCGUUCAAAGUAUAUAUGAACUCGCCGGGAGGCAUAAUGCGUCACCAUUUUAUUCUGGGCCACCCUAAAGGAUGACUCCCAGCUUCAGAGAUCUCCUCUUGGACAUCAUCCCUGAGAACCAGUGUUUUAGCUUUCACAUUGUCUUAAAUCUGUUUCUGACUGAUUUUGAGCUGGCUCAGGCUUAGUCAUUAAAUGGCCAAGACAGUGUUGAAUGUUCUGCUUGAUCAGCUUGCAGUUACACACCUUUUGUCCCUUUCAGAGCAGCAACUCCCUCUUGGGCCCUUGUUGAGUCUUUACACAGAUAUGCUAGAAAACAGGCACCAAUCCAUUCUUUCCAUCUUGGCGUUUGCCCACAGGCAUAGUCCUGGGAUGACCUGGAGUAGAGGCAGUGGAGGAUAAAUUCAUCUUGCUCAGACUUGUUCAAGCUAGUUCUCGCCUGUCUCUUGCCACAGAUCUAGUUUUUAAAUACUCAAGUGAUUGCUUUUGGGUAGGAAUGUGUGGAUUGUUGGAUUAGAAUAAUUUUCUCCUUGGAUUUCUAGUGUUUACAUAAGUAGUUAUAAAAAAUGCUCUAUCACUGAUUUUAAGUAGUGAGCUUAUUUUCAAAAGUUGCAGGUGCUUAACGAUGGUAUGGAAUAAAAAUGUAAGAUUUUUUUUUUUUUAUUGCAAGUUGUAAUACAACCAAAAGGUGUUUAUUAAUUUUUGUCGGGAAAGGGUCAAACUGAAAAUUUGCAACAAAGACAAACCAGAAUAGAACAAGUGCAAACAGAAGCUGACAAAUAUAUGCCCCUUGUUGGGAGUUCAGCCCAUGGAAUGUUAUGUAGGACAAAAGGAAUGGAAAAGAUAUUUCAGUAACAUUUUGUUCUCUGUCAAAAACCUUCUGAAAUAUAAAUCUGCUGUGUAUUGGAGAAUGGAUACAGCAAUUGAUUCAAGCUGAAUAGCUUUCAUUUAACUAGAAGAUCCCACAGAAAGCAGUUCUUGUUUCAAAAACCAUAUUUUUGCUUUUCUUGACUUAAAGAAAAUUGAAUUCAUGUUUCCAUAUCUUAUAGGAUUGUUUUAUGGACAAAGACACAGGUCACAUCCCAUCUCAUCACGGUAGCUAUUGUGACAGCAGAUAGAAAUAUUUCUAAAUGAAAUAAAAACAUUUCUAAGCCAUGGCCUGUGGCCCAUAGUGAUAAUUCUAAAUUGGCAUUGUGAAACUAUUUGCAACUACAAAUAAUUCAGUCACAGAUGUGCUUUAAAAAAAAAAAAUUUAAUUCUAGUCCCUUGCAAGCAUACAUAACCAUACACAUACUUCACCUAUUUUCAUAGUAGAGAAGGAGGAAUAUGACUAUAUAUAAUAGUCAACAGAUUACCAUCUUUCUUCUCCAUGAUGACUCCCAAUUAUUUGCUUCCAAUUAUUGAAAUUUCAUAAGUGCCCGCAGAUAUGGAUGUGUCCUUCUUAGGGUCUUGUCAUGUCAGUCAACCCAGUCAAAAGCUAGUAUAACCAGUGUUAGUGGUUUAAGAAGCUGAACUUCGCAAUUAAGACUCCCCAUGCAAAGUGUGUUCUGUUUCUAUUGCCCAUUUCUGCUCUUCUCAGUGAGAAAUUAGGUGCUCGUUUUUUUCUUUAAUUCCCAGAUCAUUCUGGCAUUGGUCCUGGGGUCAUUGCAGAGUUAAUUUUUAGCAAUAGCUAUUACUCCUGAAACAUUUUGGCUUUCUGUGGCCUAUGGUUCAGUAGAAUCUGAGGUUUUCCAGGUAUAUCAAAGACUUAAACCUAGAACGUCUUAAAAUUUUAGGGGUAUUGAUCAAAAAGAAAACUUCUCUGAGAAUAAAGAUCUGUUAGGUUUUAGCCCCAUUCUUCUUUCAAGGUUUUUAACUGGAUGUCUUAUAUUUAUUUAUUUUUCCCUCGUGUUUAUAUUAAUGUGCUACUUGGGCUUAUUGUUUCUAUUUGGAAAUAGCUUUUUCUUUGAAAUAAAAAUACAUGGCUCCAAAAAACAUAAAA